rnacentral:rRNA from 1 species
CCUACGGGGGGCAGCAGUGAGGAAUAUUGGUCAAUGGUAGGGAGCCUGAACCAGCCAAGCCGCGUGAGGGAAGACGGCACAGUGUGUCGUAAACCUCUUUUGUCGGAGAACAAAACCCGGGACGUGUCCCCGGCUGCGUGUAUCCGAAGAAAAAGCAUCGGCUAACUCCGUGCCAGCAGCCGCGGUAAUACGGAGGAUGCGAGCGUUAUCCGGAUUUAUUGGGUUUAAAGGGUGCGUAGGCGGUCAGUUAAGUCAGCGGUAAAAGGGCGGGGCUCAACCCCGGCGCGCCGUUGAAACUGGCAGUCUCGAGUUGGAGAGAAGUACGCGGAAUGCGCGGUGUAGCGGUGAAAUGCAUAGAUAUCGCGCAGAACUCCGAUUGCGAAGGCAGCGUACCGGCGCCAGACUGACGCUGAGGCACGAAAGCGUGGGGAUCGAACAGGAUUAGAUACCCGAGUAGUC